rnacentral:lncRNA from 1 species
AGCCGAUAGAGGUAAAUUGAUAUGCUAAGACUAGAUUAACAGAUACAUAUGAUAAAUAGGUAGACAAAUAUAUCAUCCAAACCGGAGCAAUCCAAGAGGUCGAAUGUAUUGGUGCAGCCUUGAACGACGCUGAUGUAGAUGAGAAAUUGCCUGGGCCGACGGAACAUUGGACUUACCCCUUCGCCGGAGAUCGAACAUCGAUGCAGCCCCACGUCAGGUGCCAAGUCCCGCCGGACGAUAAAAUAAAGUAGAAAAGGUAAAAGGUGGUGAUGCGCCGAAUUGUAUUGAUCGUGAAGAUAAAUUACAUAGACCCCGGGUGUACAUAUUUAUACCCAUGGGUUGAUACAAGUCCUUGUCGGACAAGAAAGAAACUAACCUAAAGAUAAAAGGAAAACAUAAAGUCCUUAUCGGACACUAAACACACUUUCCUAAAGAUAAAAGAAAACUAACAAACUAUUCCUAAUUAAUAGAUAAACUGCCAUGCCGCAUCCUCUUUAAACUCAGUUACUUAUGGAUAAGCUUCCUUUAGUAGAUUGAUUUCCUUAACCGAAUAUAGCAGAAAUCCGACUAUUGGCGACUUGAUAAGUCACAUCGGCUGAUUCCGAGAUGCUGCAGCCGAUAAUGAUUUUAAGCCGAUGACGUCUUUGCUGAUUACCAAAUUUCACUGUUGACAACAUGUUGGUAUGCAUUGAAGAGAAUUUAGAGUAUUUACCAUCCAAUUCUCGUGCCUCAACUUUUUUACCACCUAAUCCGUAUGCCCUCUCUAAUAUGACAUUAGGACUGCUAAUUAGUCUUUUUGGUACCACUUUCUCAGUUUUUUUUAUGUAUUUCUCAUUUCAUAGAUCAAUUUGUAUUUCUUUUCAGGCAUUGUGGACUGUUUUGCCCCUAGGCCCGCUUGUCAGAUCAAAGGGUGUGAUAUCCUGUGGGGACACCCAAUUUAGGCUUGGUGCCCCGAAAAUUCACUCGUGAUCGUCCAGGAUUUCGAUCACGCACAGAUUGAUAUACAAAACAGCUUCUGAUUAAUUAUACAAAUUUGUUCAUACAAACUAAUUAUACAACUGUUAAUGGUUUUAAAGAUCUAAACUAUUACAACCUUAUUUGAAAGUACAAAGAAAAACCCAAAGCUACUAAACUUCACAGACAUAAGCUUGAGUGGAGACUAAGCCUAGAAAAACUCAUCAUUGAAGUAGGCCUCGCUACCUUCUGGAACUUCUUCGUAAUACGGUUCUUCUAUAUGUUAGAUUAAGCAAGAGUGAGUACUUAUGUACCCAGCAAGACACUUAUAAAUAUGAUAUGAAUAUUAUUACAGAAGUUUAAAUAUCAUCAUCUUAAGCAUAAGGUAUUGAAUUAAAGAGAAAGUAAGCACAACAACAAAAUCUCAUUAUCUUCAUUAAUAUUUUAUGUUUAAAAUUACUUAUACGUCAGGAGUAGGAAUCACCCUUAUGACACAACUCCAGAACCGGGAGUACAGCACAUUUGAAUGAUUUAAUUUACCUCUGCAGAGACUGUCCAGCUUUACCCACACGAUAUCAAUAGUUUGCAAGGCUGAGGACACCAGAGCCGUUCGAAGGUCCCACUUACUACUAGUUACUGCACGAGUGGGAUAUUGAUCCGUCUUAGCAGUCGGGCACUUGCUGGGCAUAAGCAAGGCUACAUGGUCGCUGCUUUCACGGGUUCCACCGUUGUGAACCAUGCCCCCAACCUCCUUACACAUGCGUUCACCCCAAUCCUGCUCCUAGUGAGCCAACCAACAGUCUUUCAUAUAGUGGGACAAUGUACUAGGCUAAGUCCAAUUACUUGGUCGUGUGGAUGGACGCAACUAUGUCAUUUCCCAUGGUAUAAGGGGGUAAUUAUAAUCCGGUUAAACCACCCAAAACUUUCCAAACUCCCCACACCAACAAACUUCAUCAUAUAUCAACAUUCAUAAACCUCAAUAUUCACAAUCUCAACUCAUAAAUGCCCAUUUUAACCGGAUUCCUAAGUUUGUAAAGUUGUUUGGAAUAGUAAUUCACAUAAAAUGAUGACCAAUGUUUCUUUCUAUAAUCUCAUGCAAUAAUGCUUGAAAUCAUUACCAAUUAUUCCAAAUCACUACAAUGUUAUUCUGAAGUAUAACAUCUACCCAUGAGAUGUUAAAAGAGUAAAUAUCAUGCAUCAAAUUUAAAUAUGAAGAUUAAGGUUUCUAUAUGAUUUUAUGUCUUGCCUUGCACCUCGAAAUCUUCAGGGGCUUUAGCGUAGUCGGCUGUGUCCACGUCAGCUCCUGUGAUGUUAACCGGAUCUUCUGGAUUGUCUAACGUAAGUAUACGUGAAAGAUAGCAAAUAAAACCUAUAAGGAAAAGUACUACAGAUAAACGGUAAAAUAAAAGAAAAUAACAAAAUUGGAGCAUGAAGAGAGGCAAAGGCAAAAGGGCAAAAGAUAAUUGAAUUUCGAAAGAAAAUGGCAUUUAAAGAAAUUAAAGGAAAAUUAAAUUUUAAAAAGGUUUUUAGAACAAGAAAUUUAAAAUUAAAGGGAUAUAAAGUAAAUCAAAUAAAUUUAAAUAUAUAUAUAUAUAUAUAUAUAUAUAUAUAUAUAUAUAUAUUUAAAGGUUAAUUAAAAUAAUUUAGAAUUAGAAAGUAAAUAAUUAAAUAAGGAAAAGGUUUUUAAGUAAAGAAUUUUAAAUAAAAUUUUAAAAAUAGGAAAUUUGGUAUAGAAAUAAAGGAUUUGAAAUUACAUGAAUUUAGGUCAAAGAUUUUCUGGAAUUGGACUUGUGGUUGAAGAGAUAUGAGCUCCUAAAUAUUGAAAAACAAAUAAAAGAAAAAGAGAGUACUGUGCAGUGGGGCCCGCUUGUCAGUCCUCUUCUUUUUCCUUUAUUUCUUCUUCUUCUCCCCUCCUUUCUUCUUCUUGUUUCCUCCCUUCUUCUUCACAGGCACAGAGAGAGGAGGGAGAGGGCGCGGCGAGGGGAAGGAAGGGGCGGCUCCGGCGGCUGACGCGCGACGGCGACGGCGGCUGGAGGCGGCGCACAAACAAAGCCGACGGCCGGUUGUGGGGGAACUUAGAACGGCGGCCGGCGGUGAUGGAUUGGAGAGAGGGAGAGAGAGAGAGAGCUUGGAGCUUCGAUUUUUUUGUGAUGGAAAUGGAGGGGUUCGCCGGUUUUUAUAGGAAGCAAAGGCGGUGGAGGGAGAGGUGGUCGACGACGGCACGGCUCGGCGUCGAUUUGGAGGUGGGGAGGCGGCGCGGCAAGGUGGCGGCGGUGGAUUGGCUGGAGGCGGCGAGGUGGCGGCGGCGGAUUGGUCGAGCGCGGUGGCGGCGGCGGAUUGGUUGGGUGAGGUGGCGGCGGCGGCGAGAUGGCGGCGGCGGAUUGGUUGGCGACGGCGGCGGCUGGUUGCAGCGGUGGCGGCGGCGGAUUGGUCGGGCGGUGACGAGGUGGCGGCAGCGGAUUGGCUGGUGGCGGCGAGGUGGCGGCGGCGGAUUGGCUGGGCAGCGGCGGUUUGGCUGGGUGGCGGCGGCGCCUGGUUUCAGCGGUGGCGGCGGCGGCUCACAGGAAGGAGGAGGGAGGCUGAAUAGACUUUUGCCAAUUGGGCCGAAUGAAGGGACUUCGGCCUAAACUAAAUAGGAGCUUUUGACAAUUUGCAAAUAGAAUUCAAAGGAGAUGGAACUUAAGGAGAUAAAUUUGAGUACUUUUUGAAUUUGACAAAGAAAUUUAAAAUAAAGCUUUUAGAUUACCAAAAGGAUUUGAAAGUUUUUGAAAUAGAAACACAACCUAAUUAAUUAGAGAUAUAAAUUUGAAAAGGACAAAAAUAGGAAAUGCUCCAAUUUAGUAAAAUGUAAUAAAAACCAAAAGGAAAACUUGUCGCGAAAAAAAAAUUUCUCCAAAAAUUUAAGAUUUUUGAGUAUGUUACGUAUCCUUUGGAGUCUGGAUCGAUCGAUCUGAGCGCCAUCGACAUCCACUCCGGCGCCGCGGGCGUGAGCGCCACCACCCCGCCGUCCCCAAGCCUCGCCGCCGGCCAACUCGACGCCCCACCGCCACCAAGCGCUGCCGCCCGCCCUCGACGCCCCACCGCCACCAAGCGCCCCCGCCGUUACUGUUCGCCGGCGGCCCAGUUCCCGUCGGCACCAAGCUCAUGUUUUACUUUUUCUGCAGGAGACUGUAGUUACUAUGUUUCUUGCAUAACAUUGAGAGUCACAGUUGCUUCGUUACUCUCAGUCUCUGACCAGCAUUGUCGUUGUGCUUCAUCUCGAUCAGCCUGCAGCUGAUGUCAUUCUAGCUAGAAUUGAUAGCCAAAGUUACUGAUGUAGUUAACUGCCAGGCAUUUUAUAUCAUCAAGAACUGAACAUAUGAUCAACUAUCCAUCUUCCUUUCUUCAGAUUACAUAACCCAAACAGGAACAAGUGCAAACUGAAGCUGUCGGUAUUGUGCCGCUGAAAGCCUGAAACUGAACCAAUUUCCAUGCAGAUUCCUGUUCUUCCAGCUGCCAUUCUGAACAACAUCGCAUGGAAAAUUGCUACCAAUUUCAGAUAUGUACACUCCCAUAAACAACCAAAUAUGUCUAUGUAUAUAGUAUACACAAUACAUGAACUAGUACAUCCAAAUAUGAACAAUCAAUGAGUACUGCCCCAGUUCUCUGUCCUCUAUAUUAGAGUGUAUUUACAUAUAGUAUAAGCAACUAUAUGUUCUUCCAACUGAAACACUGAAAAAACAAACUACAGCUUGGUGGCGGUAGUGGGGCGUUGACUGCCGGCGGCGGCGCCCAGCGGGAGUGGUGGCGAACGGCGGAGUGGUGGCGGCGCACGGCCGCGGGAGUGGUGGCAAACGGCGGCGAGGUGGUGGCGCUCACGGCCGUGCCGAGCGACGCCUAGAGACUGGAAGGAUCGAUCAAUCGAGAGAAGAGGAAAUAUCUUUGUAACAUACCCAAAAUUUCAGGACUUAAAAUUCCUUUUCAAAAUAGUUAGAGGUUAACUUCUCCAAUUUUGAGAGCCAAAAAUUUCCGUUUUAACUUAAGUGAUGACCAACUUAAACCAUUGCAUGAUUAAAAUUUGAGAACAAAAUAAAAACCUUUUCAUUCCAAACAUUAGACUAGAAAUGUCAUCAAGCAUUUGAGCAUACAUGUGCAUAAUGCAUGACUAGGCUUGAGUCCAUUGUGCAUUUGGAUUUUGGUCUCGCUUUUUAUAAUAGGUCUCAUGAGCAUAAACUAAAAGGUUUAAAAUUACUAAACAAAACUAUAGUUAAUCUUGGGUGAUAACAUGUGGACUUCAUAUUAAAUUCUAAUAAAUUUUUCUCAGCCCAAAAGAAGUUUAAUGUAAUCCCUAUAAUAAUAUUAGGUGCAAUUAUGAAGUAGGAACACAUAUACAAAGAAAGGCUAUUCUAAUUCUUUAAAAUAAUCUGUGCAAAAUGAAAUCAUGGAAAAAUUUAUGUAAACUAUAUUUAGCAUAAGCAAUUCACUAAAAUAUUGGUACUAAGUUAAUAACUAAGUUUAAUACCUCAAACUAAUCAGUCAAAUCAGACAAUUAAGAGAAAUCAAAUUAAAUUUUAAUCGGCUAAAGCCAUACUUCAUCCAAAAGUACAUUUAACUGCACAUAAGUGAACAUGGAAAAUAAUUUAUUCAAAUACUAGAUUAUUUAUCAUGCCUAGAUAUAAUUUUUCUAGAAUUUUCCUCCUCUGUUUAGGCUUCCUAAAAAUUCAAUCUAGCCUUUAAAUAGCCUAUCUUUGUUUAAUUUCUGUGAUUAAUCUAUCCAUUAUUUUUUAGUGCAACCAAAGAAAAUGGAAUCUAGGUGUAAUCAUUUAACUCCAGUAAAAUCAACACUAAUUAAUUUGGUCCACCCAUUAAGUUAUGAAGCUUCAAAUUUAGGGGGAGAGAAAAUAAUCUAAAAAUUCGUCUAAAACCGUGUUCACCCAGAAUCUUACCCACACCUCUCUCUUCCACUUAGAGCACUUCAUCCUGGGCCCACUUGGAAGCCUCUCCAGCUCGCCCUUUCUCUGUGCCUCACCCUCAGCCGACCAAGAACACAGAGAGGGAGAGAUCGAGCGAGCCGACGCGUGGCCACAAUGUGUCGACGACCUCGGGCUUUCCUUUUCUCGCUCUCUUCUCCUCCAGUCUGAGUCGCCAUUCCUCACUCAUCACUCAGAGCCGAAGAAGCCGAGGGGAGCAGGUCCUCUGCCUCUCCGUCACCAGCGACCUCACCACCGGCCAUGGAGGUGACGACCAUCGCCAUCUCCGUUUGUGUCAAGGUCACCUCUAUCUCUUUCGCAUUCCCAUCUCUCCACACAAUGCCGAACCACUUCUUUGUUGACCACCUCCCGUUUUGUGCAUCACAGCCACCGGAACAUGACCACGCCAACGACGCCCUGGAGCACGCACCGGAGCGUCGCCGCUUCGACAUCAUUGUCGUCCGGCCAUUCUCGUCCAUCCCGAAGCAAGCCGCUAUGCCAAGAAUCUCGCCUCGACCACCUCUUCAAGACGCCUCAAGAACCCUAGCCAGAAACAUCAAGAACACGGAGAACACAUCCUUUUCUUCCUCGACGCUGAUCCGAACUCACCUCCGCCGUCAUCGUCGAUUACCGCUGCCUCGGUAAGCCAUUGUUCGAUUCGUCGUGCAUACACCAUCUCCUUGACCUCACAACCUUCGUGCAUACCUUCCUUUAGCAGCUCGUCGUCCCGUUCGAGCCGUCGCCGUUCACCCGAGGAGGAGCGCCGCUGUCACACCCCGAAGUUUUCCUCCCAAGCCAAAAUUGUAAUUUAUAAAUGACCCUAAGAAAAUGCAGGUGAAAUCAAGAGGAAACCCUAAGAAAGUAAUGCAAAUAAUAAUCGGAUUUGACAUGUGGAAUUUUUCUUGAGUUCUACAUGUCGAAAUUCAUUAACAGGAUUUUUAGUGGAAUUUUCAGAGCUCUAGAAAUAAUUUUAACCAAUUAAAAUUGAGCAAGCAAUAUUUUUAAUUCCAGGGAAAAUCCUUUUUCCUUUUUCUUUUUCUUUUUCUUUUCCCUCCCUUUUUCCUUUUUUUUUUUUCGAAUGGGCCGCCGGCCCAUUCCCCUCCUUCCUUCCCUCCCCCUUACUGGGCCGGCCGCAGGCCGAGGCCCAGCCAGGCCGCCCCGCUGCCUCCUCUCUCGGGGUCGCCGACAGGUGGGGCCCACCUGUCGGGCCCGUCCCCCACCUCCCGCCGCUCCCGGCGCGCCGCCGCGCCGAAACCGCCGCCGCGCCCACGUCCCCGCCUUCUCCGGGCCACGUCAACCACGCCCGCGCGUGCGCCGCGUCUCCCGCGCCCACUCCCCCCUCUCUCCCGCUCGCGCCCGCGCCCGAGAUGGCCGGGAUUCGAAAAUCGAAUCCCGCCUCUCUCUCCUCCCCCACUCCCCACGUCGGCCGGCGAUUCCCGCCUCUCCCGGCCACGUCCGGUUCCCUCUCCCCCUAUUUAAGCACCGCCGCCGUCCCCUCUCACUUUUUCCCCAUUUCGCCGCACUCUCUCGAGCCUCCCAUCGCUCCCGCGCCGUGCAACCCCUUGCCGCCGCCUUUUUCGCUGCUCCGGCCGCCGCUAGCCGCCGGUAGGGUCGCCGCCAGGCUGCGCCGUCGCCGCCGUCGGGUUCGCGUGGCCGAGAUCCACCCCGUCCACCCCUCCUCCGUCGAGGUUCGUCGCCGGAGCCCUCAUCCCCUCGCGCACGGGUGAGCAUCACCUCCACCGCCGCCUUCGGCCAUGGUUUCCGGUCGCCGUGGUUCAUCUCCCUCCCUCUAAUCCCUCUCUUCUCCUUCCUUAGGGCACCCCGAAGCUCGUCCGCUAGCCGACGUCGUCCUCCCGUGGCUUGUCGUCGCCGUUCGCCAUCGUCUUCCUCCGCGCCGGCCACCCUCGGUGAGGCAUCCCUCCCCUCUUUUCCCCUUCCUCUCCUCUUAGUGCCGCGCCGCCGCUUCUAGUCGUGUGCCGUCGCCUCCGACUGCCGCCGCCGCCUCCCGUGCCGCCGGUCGCAGCCGUCGUCGGCCGCGUGCCGUCGCCGCUAGACCUAGCCGGCCGGUCGGCUUUGAUGCCGAGUCGCGCCGGCGGUCGCCUUUAUCGCCGCCCGUUCCCUCCCCUUCCUAGCCGCCGCUUAGCGCAGCCGCCUUCGCGUCGCCUUUUGCGCCGUCGCCUUCGCCGCCGGCCGCCGUCUUGCGCCGCUGCCGCAAUCGCGCCGCGCCGUCGCGCGCCAUGGCCGCCGGGCCGGUUUGCGCCGUGCCCGCGCGCCCCGGCCGCGAGCUCCCGCUGCCGUCCGAUCUACCCUUGGGUAGAUCGGGGCCAUCGGUUCGGCCGCCACGUGGUGCGCCGCUCCUCCCCGGUCCGUGGACCCGAUCCGCCGUGGACCGCCCUCUCCCGAGUCACUGCCAUGCGGGUCCCGCUUGCCGGCGCCCUUCCUCCCUCUCCCGAGUCGCUGACCGGUAGGCCCCGCAUGUCGGUGCCACACCCCCCGCGCUGACGUCAGCCCUGGUUAAUAUUGCGCAAUAAAUUAUUUAAGGAUUUUUGUUAUAGUAAUAAACACAGUGAAUCUUCUAAAAUUCAUAACUAAUUCAUCCGAGCUCCGUUUAAUCCCAUUCAAGUCUCAGUAAAUCAAGAAAAAUGUGUAGAAUCCAUUAAAAAUGGUUUUGUUCCCUGUUUCAGUAGUCUUAUAGCCUGUUUGCAAUGUUUGCCUUGUAUGUCGCUAGAUUCCGGUUCCUCCGACGCUCCGGUGUACUUCGAGAUAGUCGCCGAGGUCCCUCCAGCAGCAGAGCAAGGCAAGUCAUGCUUGUCACUUGAUCAUAUUGAUCCUAUAUUGCAAAUGUCCUAAUGUUUUCUUUCAAAUACCGCAUUUGUUUUGCAAUAUUACUAUGGGAUGGUUACCUAUUGUUACAGCCAUGCUAUUUUGAUACCAUGCUCCUUUGUUAGCUUGGGUUAUAACCUGAUUAGAGUUAGGACUAGGGUUUGCUUAGCCAUGCUUAGUUCAACUAGUUCACAAUGGGGAAAAUCAUAUUAAUGUUUAGACUGUUAGUUCUAAUGGUAAUGUUGGAUUAGUGACAUCGCUUUGGUGUUGGUUAAUUAAAAUGAAUCACAUGGUGGGCUGUGGGUGCAUGGUUUUGCUGGUCGCACCCAUGGCAGUUAAGGACCGGUUCGCGGGAUGCCCUGGAAGAACUUAUCGUACUUACCACAAGCCAGCGUGGGCAACGGCUGGGCUUGUAGUGUAGCUAUCCUCUAGUCGACGCAUCCAGGCAAGGGUGGGCGUGAUGGAGCGGGGCGGGCCCUGCGACGGCCUCUGUCGCUUCCGGAUUCACCUAGGCACGAGAGGGGACUGCCCGUUGCCCGCUGGGGACGGGGGUGAAACCUGAGGUGUGGUGUGCUUGGCUAGAGGGGGUUAUGCGAAGGGUCCUGUCACGGCAUCUUUCCGGUAUGUCAUGGUGGCAUGUCGGCGCACGGAAACGUGUCGUAGGGCUGUGUCUUGUGGGUACAGUUGUACACCUCUGAUCAGAGUAAAACUAUUCGAAUAGCCGCGCCCGCGGUUAUGGGCGGUCAACCAGAUUCACCGUGAUUAGUCUUACCCUAGUGUAAUCUUUUGAAUUUGGAUAAUUUAGGUGGAUGGUUGGGCCUGUCGCAACGUGGUGUAGCGUUGGACAGUGGAUGAUUAAUACUGCUUAAUUAUUACAACUGUUUUCGCAUUCAACUCCUGUUUAUAAAUGCCAGUAUUUAUGCAAAUGAACCUGCUUGGCUAUCCCUUGUUGAAUCCAUGCAUCAUACCCCCAUUCCGGUAUGACUUGCUGAGUACAGUGGGUAGUACUCAGUCUUGCUCUAUUUUCCCCCGAUCUCAGAGCUCGAGUAUGUGUCCGAUGGCGGGUUCUCCGAGGAGUAGGCUUCGUCCGUGUCGUCGAGGAUGCCUGUGGAGUGGUGUUCCCGCUGCAGUUCAAGUCAAGGAUUAGCUCCAGUUAUCUUUUGUUUUCCGCUGCAUUUCUGUAAGACUUUUAUGAUGUUUGUAAGACGUGGAUCUGAAUGUCAACAUUGUCGUUUGUGUACCCCGGCUGGUCCUGGACGGGGAUUUUAAUGCACAUUCUGCUUGGAAUUCUAUUCGGGAAUUUCUGGGCGUGACAGCCGCCGUCAAACCGUUCCAACCGAAGCCACUUCUAUCCAAGCUUCGGCGAUUUCUUCCUACAGCUUGGUGAGCCUCCUGGACCUCUUAGGAAACACAUGCAUGGAUGCAUCUAGCAAAAUCAAAGCCCCUAGGCAACAUGCAGUAACAACUCAUCUAUACCCUCACCAUAGGUGCUACUCCGAUGUCUCCUAGCCAAGAAAACUAGAGGAAUGGAAUCGUGAGAGCAUUCUCUUAAUUUUAUUUUUUGACCUCAUUCCCAGUCGAGCCACCAAUCGUCGCCGACGAGCUCGCCAAAGCCAUGGCCAAGCUCCCAGUCCAUCGGGCUGCUGGAGGUUGAAGAUGAGGACUUUGUCCUGUAAAUGAUCAAAAACAUAGGGUUCAAACUAUAAAACUUCAGUCGUUUACAUGUGGACCCAUGGACCUAAAUGCUGUUCAUAUAAAGCCCAGAGACCUUUUUGUAUAUUGGUUCAGCCACCGAUCAGUGGACCCAUGUGUAUAAAAAUCUGAAAAUGCAAAGGAAAAAUAACUAAAACAUUAAAUGUUUAACAGGAAAACACCCAAACUUGUAAAAUCCAUAUAAAAUCAAAUGUAAUUCAUUUUGAGAUGAUUCCAGUUGCUGUAGAUUCUUAAAGUUAUGAACUCUAUUUUAGAAAUAUAAAACUUGACACUCACUGUACAAAUAAUGUCUCUAAAAUUUAUCUAAGAUAGGUCAUACAUAAAAUAAAACAUGUACAAACUUAUAAAAUACAUAGAAAAUUCAUCUCAACUCAUUUUGAAAGAAAAUCAAAUUCUACAGAUUCAUCAUCAUGCACUCUCUGAUUAGGUGAAAUCAAAGUAAUUACUUUGCAUCAAAUGCCUCUAAAACUAUUAUCUCUUAGAAUGAUUAGUUUAGAUAAGCUAAACUUUAGAAAUUCAUGUAGAACCAAUUUAGCUUUAAUUUGAGUAAACUUAAGUUCUGUAGGAUAAUCAAAACAUGUAUUUCCAUGUUAUGAAAUAAGAUUAUAUACUUACUGUGUAGUAAAAGUCUCUAAAUAUUCAUAUAAGGAUUUACUAACAUAGAGCAGCCUUUAAUUUGUAAAACUUGUAGAAAAUUCAUUUUUAGUCCAAAUGAAAUGAACAAAGUUUCUAUAGAACCAGCAAAUAGUAAGCUUCAACAUAGUAAAAUAAAAUUUGGCACCUUUUGUAGAGAACAUAGAUAAAAAACCUUAACUUAGUGAAAUAAGAAUUUAAACACAUAGUGUUGAUUAAGUAAUACAUAAACAUGUAUAAGUAUAUAUACACUUUAGGUCUAAUUAAACCUAAAUAAAAACUUGAUUGACCAGUGAAGCCAUAGUUCCAUCCUCAUCCACUAAAACUUAGAAGAACUUAGCUCAUAUAACAAUUUCUAGGUUAAUAUAAUAUAUUGCUAGUUUAGAUUAGAGCAUCUCUAGUUUAUAAAAUAUGAACCAUAGUAGUAAAGACUAUAAACAUGUGAACUAAAAAUGUUUUAGUUAACCAAAUUAUUCCUUUUAUUCAACUUAAACAGGAAGUAGCAUGUUCUGAACCUACAACUUGAGAGUCAUGCACAUAUAAAACACUAUAUGCCUAAAACAUGUUGUAACUUGUAAAAUCUAUAAGAAAAUCAUUAUAACUUCAAAAAUUGUGAAACCAAAUGCAUUAGUCUUAGAAAACACACCUCUACACCCCUGUGAAGUCUAAUCUAGUAAAAAUCACUUUACAAAAGUAUUUCAUAACACUACCUAAGACUAUACUACUAUAAACCGAUAAAACUUCUAAAAUUCAUAACUCCCUAAUGGAAUAAGAUAAAAUAAAAAUUAUUCCACCCAAAUUCAUUUUAGAUCAGUACCAACCCACUGUGCAUAAAUCAUGUAUUUUAAAACAUUUUGGAUUUUUAGCUCUUUCAGUGUUUAAUUGCAUAACGUGUCCUUUAUCUAGAUAAUUGCAUAAUUGGUGAAGGAGUGGAUUAGGUGCUAACAUUUCUCUGAUCAAGGCAAGUUUUCUCCUCCCAUCCUUUGAACACAUUGAAUCCCAUGAUUUGAGGAAUGAAAAUAUUUGUUUGCAAAGUUGCAUGUGAACUUAGACUAUAUCGGUAUUUAAAAUUGGGUUAAGGUAGUUAUGACCUAUUUGCUGCAUACCCCACCUUGAAUAAUUGAUCCUCUUGCUGUUUGAACCCUUAGAAAUGGUUAGAGUACACUCUUUGUGCUCAAAUGGGUUUAUAUAUGCUCUAUGUGCAACUACUUGCUUAGCCAUGCUUAGAAAUAUGCAAAUGUUCAUUCCAUCUAUAAUUAAAAUGUGAAUUUUGAUACAUGAACCCUUGCUAGAAUAAAAUGAAUAUGAUGGGUAUUUGCGAACUAAAAUUUGUAAAAUGUGAUUUUAUAGUUGGGCGGCAAGUGGUGUGCAUAUGGUGUUAGUUGCAUACCGAUAGGGGAGUGUUUGUCUAAGUCCAUAAGGACCGAACUUGUGUCACCCAUUUAAAGUUAUUCGUACAUCCACAUGUGCUAGUAUGGGAUGGCCUAAGCUGAUUAAUCUAUUUAGGACUAGCCUUGCAUUCUGGUAGGCCGGUGUGUAUGAGUUAGUCGAUAAUUCUGAGGAAUUAGUCGAUGAUUCAGAGGAACUUCCUAUUUGCCCCGACGUGGUAGUUUAGGUGACUAAGUUUGUCCAAUACAACGGUAUUGUGCCACGUGGGUGGGUUCCCGUUGUGUCCGCCACCACGGCGUUAAGUUUAAGGCGUGGGCCCGCCACUUAACGGUUGUAGGCAUAUUCCAAGUAUGCCUAGGAUAGAGGAACACGUAUCGUGCUGGUGCAAGGCUAGGCUCUAAGUAGUGUAAAGGCUUUGUUAUGACCUCUAGAUCACAUUCAACAUGAAGAGUGUGGUGGAGUCUUGCAAACUCAAAACAAACUAGCGAAUUCAUAUCAUGUGGGUAAAGCUAUACAAACUCUGCAGAGUUCUUUAAACUAAUCGAUUA